AAAGUUUGCAAAAAAAAAAAUCUGUUUCCUCCAGCAGGAAAGUAUCAUCAGCCUUCCCAGAAGAAUGAGGUGAAGUUCCUGGCAGAGCAAAAGUGGAAUCCCGGCUAGCGAAGGAGUCCCUGCUGGCCCGGCAGCUGUCCCUGCAGCUCCAUAUUGCAAGGGAGAAGCAGGGACAGUAUGUGCACAUUGAGGGGGUCUGGCUUCCUCUGGAAUUCACCAGCCUGCUGACUGCUAUCCCAGGACAGGUUUCAGCACCCCAGCUGAGACCAUCUCUGGCCAGGGAAGAAAACAGUAAGAGAAAUCCUGCUUCAAGGAAGAAUUGGAUAAGGUUGUUACAGGCAGAGGAAGAACGCAUCCUUGGCUACUGAAGAAGUUGUGAGAUGGCUUCCGCAUCAAUGGCCUGGCAGCUGUCCCUGCAGCCCCAUAUUGCAGGGGGGAAGCAGGGGCAGCAGGGUGAGAUGGAGCAGGGAAACUGGUUGUGAGGAGGUAGGACGGAGGGUGUGAAACCCCAGCAGCAUUGCCAUUAUGUGCCCCUUGAUCCUCGGUGGGAGCACCAUUGGA